GGGCCCAUAGCUCAGCUGGUAGAGCGCGCGCAUGGCAUGCGCGAGGUCAGGAGUUCGAGCCUCCUUGGGUCCA
rnacentral:tRNA from 1 species